CAGCAGCCGCGGGAAUACGAAGGGUGCAAGCGUUAAUCGGAAUUACUGGGCGUAAAGCGUGCGUAGGCGGUUCGUUAAGUCUGUUGUGAAAGCCCCGGGCUCAACCUGGGAAUGGCAAUGGAUACUGGCGAGCUAGAGUGUGUCAGAGGAUGGUGGAAUUCCCGGUGUAGCGGUGAAAUGCGUAGAGAUCGGGAGGAACAUCAGUGGCGAAGGCGGCCAUCUGGGACAACACUGACGCUGAGGCACGAAAGCGUGGGGAGCAAACAGGAUUAGAUACCCCGGUAGUCCCUGUCUCUUAUAC
rnacentral:rRNA from 1 species